rnacentral:rRNA from 1 species
UACGUAGGAAGCAAGCGUUAUCCGGAUUUACUGGGCGUAAAGCGGGCGUAGGCGGUCUUACAAGUCGGAUGUGAAAUCUCCCGGCUUAACUGGGAGGGGUCAUCCGAUACUGUUUGACUAGAAGGCAGCAGGGGGAGGUGGAAUUCCCGGUGUAGUGGUGAAAUGCGUAGAUAUCGGGAGGAACACCAGUGGCGAAGGCGACCUCCUAGGCUGUUGUUGACGCUGAGGCCCGAAAGCGUGGGGAGCAAACAGGAUUAGAUACCCCUGUA